rnacentral:rRNA from 1 species
AAGAUUAAGCCAUGCAUGUCUAAGCACAUGCCUUAAAAUGGUAAAGCCGCGAAUGGCUCGGUAUAACAGCCGCUGUUUAUUAGAUUUUAGUUAUCUACUUGGAUAACUGUGGCAAUUCUAGAGCUAAUACAUGCACGAAAGCUCGGACCUUCGGAAAGAGCGCAUUUAUUAGACCAAAACCAGUCGAGUUUCGGCUUGUUUGUUGGUGACUCUGAAUAACUAAGUUGAUCGCACAGUCUAGUACUGGCGACGUAUCUUUCAAAUGUCUGCCUUAUCAACUUUCGAUGGUAGGUUAUACGCCUACCAUGGUUAUAACGGGUAACGGAGAAUAAGGGUUCGACUCCGGAGAGGGAGCCUGAGAAAUGGCUACCACAUCCAAGGAAGGCAGCAGGCGCGCAAAUUACCCAAUCCCAGAAUGGGGAGGUAGUGACGAAAAAUAACGAGACGGUCCUCUUUGAGGCCUGUCAUCGGAAUGGGUACAAUUUAAAUCUUU